rfam:Ictidomys tridecemlineatus contig034097, whole genome shotgun sequence.
AGGGUUGUGGCUCAGCGGUAGAGCACUUGCCUUUCACAUGUGAGACCCUGGGUUCAAUUCUCAGCACCACAU